CUACGGAGGGCGCGAACGUUGCUCGGAAUCAUUGGGCGUAAAGCGCACGUAGGCGGCCUGAUAAGUCGGAUGUGAAAGCCCACGGCUCAACCGUGGAAGUGCAUUCGAAACUGUCAGGCUUGAGUAUGGGAGAGGGUUGCGGAAUUCCCGGUGUAGAGGUGAAAUUCGUAGAUAUCGGGAGGAACACCAGCGGCGAAGGCGGCAGCCCGGACCAAUACUGACGCUGAGGUGCGAAAGCGUGGGGAGCAAACAGGAUUAGAAACCCUAGUAGUCC
rnacentral:rRNA from 1 species